UAAAUAUUGCAAAAAAAAUCGAGUAAAUUAUGAAAAAGAAAACAAGUACUUUCUCUCUCCUCACGAGUUACCUUCAACACUUCUCUCUUCACCAUGUUUGCUCUCCUUCGUGAUUCUCUCUGCUCACCGUCACCACCACUGGUGCAACCACCGCGCCGCCACUAUCUCUCACGCUGCCAUCUUCCACCCGUCGUCUCCUAUGCUGCAAUUUGUGAAAUUUCUUUUAUUUUUAUUUUCUCCUCUCCUGCGAUUCAGCGAGCCAUCUUUCACCCCCAUUUCGGAGAUCUAUUGCCCAGUUGCUUUGAUUGAUCUUCGAUUUUCCAUGUUAGGUUGCAAUUUCUGCGACUUGGCUAUUUUGUGACGUAAUUCCCGCGCUUAUGGGAUGUGUCCACAGUAUUUCCAAGUUUUGUUGAAAAUAAGAUAAUGUUGCUCUGAAGAUAUUUAAUCUGCCUUCGAAAAGGUGUUUCCAAGGGAGUCAGGGAGUCCAAAAUGUGUUUACCUGUGGACAAUUUGGAAUGCUUAGCCGUUUUUAGUAGUCUAACUGCAAUGAUAAAUCGCGUUGAAGCUUGGAACAUCACCAACAAAUAAAGCAUCGUGUUGAGAUUUAUUCCCAGCACAGCUUUUGUUCAAAAUUUUGCGAGGCGCCUAUAUAUUUCAUCAACCUAAUUACUGUAUGAAUAUCAACUUCAAAUUACAAUUCAGAAAAUUAUAUGUUCAGAUAAUUCGUAAUUACAGUAUUAACCACUUUACUCGGCUGUUUGUCAACAGUUAUCGGCUGGGAGGAUUAUUUGUCCUAAAAGGGUGCAUCCCUUGUUGAAAUGUUACAACUGUUAACAUAUACAACAUACCUUUCAAAAUUAUUUUCCUGCAAUGUCAUGUUUGCUUGAAUCUUAUUUGAUCCUUAUUUGUAUAUAUAUAUUAUAUAGGUCACCUUUGGUGUCCUGUUUCAUGAUGAUCUUUGCUCAAACAUACUUGAAGCUGUCGUUGGAACACUAAAUGGUGCAAAGAAGAGGAAGAUUUUGAUAUAUGACGGAGAGUUUCUUCUACAAGGUGUCGAUGACAAUGUAGUUAUUACCAUGAAACCUUAUGCAACAGCUCCUGCUUCUACUGAUGUGGUAGACAAGAGCUGACCAACUUCAUGCUUAGAUUUCCAUAAUCCUGUUGGAGAUGAGCCUUAAGCACUGCAACCAUUCUCCCGUCUGUUUGGCUGGUCUAUUGAAGCAGCAACCAGGGCAUGGCAGAUUAGCAGCCAUGAUCUAGAUAUAAAGAGGAGAAAUCUAGGUCAAUUAAUUAAUUAUUUGGCAAGAGUUGACCUGCGUUGACUUCGUGAAAUCUGUUGAUGUUGGUCGGUUGUUGCUGUUUUCUAGUCAAGUGAUACCUAUUAGCUCAAGGUUUGAAUUAUUUUGGUUCACUUUUUUUUUUUGGUUUUUGCUUUACUUUUGUUGAUUCUACUUAAAAACACCAGCAUACUAGCUCAAUAGGUAGAGCAUUGUGCAAAUGCACAAAAAAUGUGGGUUCGAAUCCCACGUAGGUUAAUCUUUACUUUUUGUAUUGUUUUAUUUACUUUGGCAUUUUUGGGUUAAUAUUAUUAAGUUCUUAUCGGUUCAUGUUUU